AACUGAUAGUCUCGUGCUUGUAUUCGACGGUGUCACGUUUGCUGGCGUUGUCCCUCGCGAGUCUUUUUGAUUUAAUUUAAAGUCUAAUCUGCCCACUGAUUAUAAUUAAAGGGCUGCAGUAAUUUGACUGUACAAAGGUAGCAUAAUCAUUAGUCUUUUAAUUGAAGACUGGUAUGAAUGAUUUGAUGAAAUAUAAACUGUCUCUAAUUUAUAUUUAAAAUUUAAUUUUUUAGUUAAAAAGCUAAAAUAUAUUUAAAAGACGAGAAGACCCUAUAGAGUUUUAUAAUUUAAAAAUUAAAAUAUUUAUAUUAAAUUUUAAUAUAAUAUUUUUUAAAUUAUUUUGUUGGGGUGAUAAAAAAAUAAAUAAAACUUUUUUUAAAAAAUAUCAAAUUUGGUACACCGGCGAGAAGUUGCCUGUCAUCGCUCGUGCACCAUGUGUCAUACCAUGGUAACCACCAGAGAAACUGAUCACAGUACUAACCACCAGUAUAUGUUUUUAG
rnacentral:rRNA from 1 species